CCCCCUGUUGCGCAUUGGUCAGCGCGCUCCGAUGAGGUAGGAGAAGUCCUCGGUUCAAAUCCGAGCAGAGGCA
rnacentral:tRNA from 1 species